AGAGCGAACGCUGGCGGCAGGCCUAACACAUGCAAGUCGAACGGACCCUUCGGGGUUAGUGGCGGACGGGUGAGUAACACGUGGGAACGUGCCUUUAGGUUCGGAAUAGCUCCUGGAAACGGGUGGUAAUGCCGAAUGUGCCCUUCGGGGGAAAGAUUUAUCGCCUUUAGAGCGGCCCGCGUCUGAUUAGCUUGUUGGUGAGGUAAUGGCUCACCAAGGCUACGAUCAGUAGCUGGUCUGAGAGGAUGACCAGCCACAUUGGGACUGAGACACGGCCCAAACUCCUACGGGAGGCAGCAGUGGGGAAUCUUGCGCAAUGGGCGAAAGCCUGACGCAAGCCAUGCCGCGUGUAUGAUGAAGGUCUUAGGAUUGUAAAAAUACUUUCACCGGUGAAGAUAAAUGACUGUAGCCGGAGAAGAAGCCCCGGCUAACUUCGUGCCAGCAGCCGC
rnacentral:rRNA from 1 species